rnacentral:misc_RNA from 1 species
GAUGAAGAACGCAGCGAAAUGCGAUACGUAAUGUGAAUUACAGAAUUCAGUGAAUCAUCGAAUCUUUGAACGCACAUUGCGCCUGCCAGCACUCUGGCAGGCAUGCCUGUUCGAGCGUCAUUUCAACCAUCAAGCCCUAGGCUUGCGUUGGAGCCCUGCGGCUGCCGCAGGCCCCUAAAAGCAGUGGCGGGCUCGCUAUCACACCGAGUGCAGUAGAUUACUCUUCGCUCAGGGCGUGUGGCGGGUUCCAGCCGUGAAACCCCCUACUUCUCAAGGUUGACCUCGGAUCAGGUAGGAAUACCCGCUGAACUUAAGCAUAUCAAUAAGCGGAGGA